GCUUCAGCAGAAGAAACCCUUCUUAUAAAUCUCGCCCAAACAGGAAAGCAAACCUGAAAAUACACUAUCCUCCAGCUAUCAGAAUUAUAUUGAGAUCUACUCACAUUUAUGAUGAUGUUCAGAGAUUCAUCAUUGGGAAGGAAAAUGCACACACUGCGGUGGUCUUGCAUGACUCUGUUGUUGUGGAAAUUCAAUUUGUUCGUUGUGUUUUGGGCUCUCUGGGUGGUCAGGGCUGGGCUCUGGGUCCUUGGCAAUCCCUCAGGUUCCCAGCACUCCAAAGCCAAGCUCACUUCCUCAUCACAUGCCCUGCAGGAGAAGCACCAGGGUGUUCAACUACGUGGGUUUCAUAGCUGUGGAAAAGCCAAAGGGGAGAUUCCUGAAGAAAGGCGGUGAAGACUGUGAAGAGCGGGUCAGGAAGAUGAACACAGGGACAGCAUGUCUCCAGCCAGUGCCACCUUGUUUAAUACAUGGGGAACUCACUGAAAUUCAUUCUGUAUUUUGCCCACAAAGUUUUAAAGCUUUCGUCCACAGUCAGGAAUUAAACUUACACCAAUGAGAGCCUCACACAUCCAAGGAUGUACUAAGCACUACAAGCCUCACAGAAACAGAGAUCCCAUCUUGGAGUUUUCAGUCCCACAUGGGAGAUAAAGUGUUUUGAACAUGAAAUGACAAAAACAAUAGCAAGAAGAAAAUUCUCGUCCUUUUUCAUUACUAUCAAACUCAAAUAAAUGUCUUGGCUCUUACAUUACAUUCAUUCUUCAGCCAUUGUGGUCUGGCUUCCACUUCCUUCAAUUCACCAACGUGGCUUUGCCAAAGGAAGCCCGUGAUCUCUAGGCCAUCACUUUAAUGGAUCUCUCUACGACAUUUAUCCUGGUUGUUAAGCCCUCUUUACAACAUUCUUCUCUGUUUUUAUAGCUCUAUCUCUCCUGCUUCUUUAACCUGAUAAUGCAUACUUGAUUUUUCCAUUUAUUAUUUCAUAAACCAGUUAAAACACAGAUAAAACAAGACUGUGUAUAUCAAACCAUGUUUGUAUAGAAAAAAUGGAUUUUGGAUGCCUCUCAUAUGUAAUUAGUUCUAUGAAACAUAUUAAUUGUAUUUAAUUUAUCAGGUUUUUGACAUAAUUUUGUUUGCAAGUAAUAAAAAUUUUAUCUCCAAUUUUCAA